rnacentral:lncRNA from 1 species
AAAAGUCGAAUUUUUGGUCAGCUCUCAGGUAACCUUCAGCAGGCAGUGUACCGGUACAGGGUUGAUGGCUGUACCGGUACAGGGUUGAUGGUUGUACCGGUACGCGGGCUCGUGUAUCAGUACACAGGCAGUUUUGAGGCAAACCCGAGGCUCGGGUUUGGCGUUUUCGUGGGAGGUGUACCGGUACGCGGGCGCGUGUACCGGUACGCAGUGACAGAUUCUGAAUGGUCGAAACUGCAGGGGUGUAUUUGCAUUGUGACACUUCUAUAUGUG